rnacentral:rRNA from 1 species
AAAUACAGUACCUUAAAGGCAUCAGAUCCCAUCUGAUCUUGGAAGCUAAACAGGGUGGGUCCUGGUUAGUACUUGGAUAGGUGAUUGCCAAUUAAUUCCAUGUGCUGUAGAUU